ensembl:snRNA U6 U6 spliceosomal RNA
GUGCUUACGUUGGCAGCACACAUAUUAAAAUUGAAACAAUACAGAGAAGAUAACAUGACCCCUGCACAAGGAUGACACUCAAAUUCUUGAAGUGUCCCAUAUUUUC